AAGACUUACAGUAGAGAUCGGUCAGUCCGGAGUCAGAAUCAAGUUUCCAGGAAGCGUGACAUGUCUUCCUGCGGUAUAAUACAAAGACGAGUUCACACUCAUCUUCUCGUCUUUAAUAUGGAUAUGCAACGAACACCUUUUAAGCUCCAACUUUUAAAAUCGUGGAUCCGCAACUAGCUUCCAAAUCUUAUUACAGUGUAACUUACCUAAUCCGACAACUGAGUAUUCCAAGAUCCUGCUUUAACUGACACAUGUUCAUAGUCCCGAAGUAUGCCUACCCUUGCAGACAAAAUCCUGAGUAUUCAGAAACCCUGCUUAAUCCGGCAUUUUUUCUGGUCUCCCAGUGUGUCGGAUUACACAGGUUAAACUGUCUCUGAUGUUGUUCUAUGCUUCUUUCCCAAUACAUACAUUUCAGUGAUUUAUACAUGUAUUAAAAGUAAUUUGGUGCUCUCCUAUUAAUUUUUCUAUCUUUAAAAUUGAUAACAUUUUAUAAGUUAAUGUAUAUACAUAAAUCAGGCCGUUAGUUUGUUCAUUGUCAUUGUUCAUACCCCAUCUUUGUGUUAUAUUCAAGGCAUUCAAAAUCGUUUGCCUGGAAAUGUCUUUUAUAUUUUGACUUCGAUUAAACUCCUGUUAAAUAUAACAGAACAGUCCCUGAUCGAGCACACAUUCUAAAAU
rnacentral:lncRNA from 1 species